CUAACACAUGCAAGUCGAGCGGUAACAGGUGUAGCAAUACAUGCUGACGAGCGGCGAACGGGUGAGUAAUGCUUUGGAAUCUUCCCAGUAGUGGGGAAUAACCAGUCGAAAGAUUGGCUAAUACCGCAUACGUCGGAGACGAGAAAGCGGGGGAUCGUAAGACCUCGCGCUAUUGGAUGAGCCAAAGUCGGAUUAGCUAGUUGGUGGGGUAAUGGCCUACCAAGGCGACAAUCCGUAGCUGGUCUGAGAGGACGACCAGCCACACCGGAACUGAGACACGGCCCAGACUCCUACGGGAGGCAGCAGUGGGGAAUCUUGCGCAAUGGGCGAAAGCCUGACGCAGCAACGCCGCGUGAGGGAUGAAGGUCUUCGGGUUGUAAACCUCUUUCAAGCAGGGACGAUUAAUGACGGUACCUGCAGAAGAAGCUCCGGCCAACUACGUGCCAGCAGCCGCGGUAAU
rnacentral:rRNA from 1 species